GUGUCUUGUAACAUAGGGUUUGUGGUUAUCUGGGGGAGUUACUGUCGCGAGGUAUACGGCCUCAGGAUUUAUUUUCCGCUUUAUUUCCGGGUCGAGGUUGUUCGGGUGCUGGAUUUUGCACUAUUAACAAUAUAUGGCUGCAUGAAGGGGAGCCUUGGCGCAGUGGUAAAGCUGCUGUCUUGUGACCAUGAGGUCACGGGUUCAAGUCCUGGAAACAACCUCUUACAGAAAUGUAGGGAAAGGCUGCGUACUAUAGACCCAAAGUGGUCGGACCCUUCCCCGACCCUGCGCAAGCGGGAGCUACAUGCACCGGGCUGCCCUUUUUUUAACAAUAUAUGGCUGCAUGCAUCGUUCUGAUGUAGAGGCCGGGGGUUAUCCUCCUUUUCAGAAAAAUAACAAGGGGAAAGGAAGAAGAGAAAAAUGCACACCCAAGAGAAGGCACGACCUAGCGAGUAGACCGAAGCACCAUCACGAGUGACACGAGUAGAUGUGGGGAGCCGUCGAGGGAUCACAAUGCCAAAACUUUGCAAACAGCCUAACGCACCGCACCGGCGUGCGUACCGAACCCCACGGCGCAAUAGAGGAGCCUCCACAAUCAACAAGUGCUAUAGUUGAACAAGAACCUUGACUGCAAGCUCAGCCAUACGAAGCCGGAACGAUUAUCAAGUUGGGGAGGCAUCAUUACUCCAACAUUGAGCAAAGAUGAACGGAGACCACCAUGGGAAGGUCUUGAACAUGCACAACAAGACGGCACACCACAUGAACACUGCCAAAGACAAACAAACGAGGCAGAGGUGGCAGCUCCACAGCACCAAGCGUGAUGUUGCCAGACCCCAAGACACACCACUGUCGACCCCAACUCAGUCGCACCACCACCACCCACAUCCCCGUAAGAAGCAGCUACCCAACAGAACAAUCGAGCCGACUUCUAGACGAUGCCUUCAAGACGGGUUGUGAUGCAAAUUGCGCCACCAUUGGUUGUUCAGGGCAAACCUGGAACCAAGGUUUCCCCCUAAGUCGCAAAGAGGAUGGCAAAAACAACAUACAAUGACGCCUUCAAGAAGGUUCACGGCGCCCAUGGGCGUCGUCGUCAUUUGCUCCGGUCUGAGCUUUCACUGAAUUGAGCACACACAUCCAGAGCAUCAUUGAACUAGGUAGAUUGCUCACUUGCACCACCAUAAGCAUUGGG
rnacentral:lncRNA from 1 species